UGGGGAAUAUUGCACAAUGGGCGCAAGCCUGAUGCAGCCAUGCCGCGUGUGUGAAGAAGGCCUUCGGGUUGUAAAGCACUUUCAGCGAGGAGGAAGGUGGUGAACUUAAUACGUUCAUCAAUUGACGUUACUCGCGGAAGAAGCACCGGCUAACUCCGUGCCAGCAGCCGCGGUAAUACGGAGGGUGCAAGCGUUAAUCGGAAUUACUGGGCGUAAAGCGCACGCAGGCGGUUUGUUAAGUCAGAUGUGAAAUCCCCGGGCUCAACCUGGGAACUGCAUUUGAAACUGGCAAGCUAGAGUCUCGUAGAGGGGGGUAGAAUUCCAGGUGUAGCGGUGAAAUGCGUAGAGAUCUGGAGGAAUACCGGUGGCGAAGGCGGCCCCCUGGACGAAGACUGACGCUCAGGUGCGAAAGCGUGGGGAGCAAACAGGAUUAGAUGCCCUGGUAGUCCACGCUGUAAAGCGAUGUCGAUUUUGGAGGUUGUGCCCUUGAGGCGUGGCUUCCGGAGCUAACGCGUUAAAAUCGACCGCCUGGGGGAGUACGGCCGCAAGGUUAAAAACUU
rnacentral:rRNA from 1 species